CCUACGGGUGGCUGCAGUCGAGAAUCUUCGGCAAUGGGGGCAACCCUGACCGAGCGACGCCGCGUGUGGGAUGAAGGCCCUUGGGUUGUAAACCACUGUCAGAGGGGAUGAAGUGCCAGAGAGUUAUCUCUCUGGUUUGACAUAGCCUCAGAGGAAGCACGGGCUAAGUUCGUGCCAGCAGCCGCGGUAAGACGAACUGUGCAAACGUUAUUCGGAAUCACUGGGCUUGAAGAGUGCGUAGGCGGUUUUGUAAGUAGGGUGUGAAAGUCCUCGGC
rnacentral:rRNA from 1 species